rnacentral:sRNA from 1 species
AUGGGGGAAAAUGAGGAUGAGAAGCAGGCCCAGGCAGGGCAGGUUUUUGAGAACUUUGUCCAGGCAUCCACAUGCAAAGGUACCCUUCAGGCCUUCAACAUCCUCACACGACACCUGGACCUAGACCCUCUGGACCACAGAAACUUUUAUUCCAAGCUCAAGUCCAAGGUGACCACCUGGAAAGCCAAAGCCCUGUGGUACAAAUUGGAUAAGCGUGGUUCCCACAAAGAGUAUAAGCGAGGCAAGUCGUGCACGAACACCAAGUGUCUCAUAGUUGGGGGAGGACCCUGUGGCUUGCGCACUGCCAUUGAACUUGCCUACCUGGGAGCCAAAGUGGUCGUGGUGGAGAAGAGGGACACAUUCUCCCGGAACAACGUGCUACACCUCUGGCCUUUCACCAUCCAUGACCUUCGGGGCCUGGGAGCCAAGAAGUUCUAUGGGAAGUUCUGUGCUGGCUCCAUCGACCAUAUCAGUAUUCGCCAACUACAGCUCAUCCUAUUCAAGGUGGCCCUGAUGCUGGGAGUUGAAAUCCAUGUGAAUGUGGAGUUCGUGAAGGUUCUAGAGCCUCCUGAAGAUCAAGAAAACCAAAAAAUUGGCUGGCGGGCAGAGUUUCUCCCUACAGACCAUUCUCUGUCGGAGUUUGAGUUUGACGUCAUCAUUGGUGCCGAUGGCCGCAGGAACACCCUGGAAGGGUUCAGAAGAAAAGAAUUCCGUGGGAAGCUGGCGAUUGCCAUCACCGCCAACUUCAUAAACAGAAACAGCACAGCGGAAGCCAAGGUGGAAGAGAUUAGUGGCGUGGCUUUCAUCUUCAAUCAGAAAUUUUUUCAGGACCUUAAAGAAGAAACAGGCAUAGAUCUUGAGAACAUUGUUUACUACAAGGACUGCACCCACUAUUUUGUCAUGACAGCCAAGAAGCAGAGCCUGCUCGACAAAGGUGUCAUCAUUAACGACUACAUCGACACAGAGAUGCUGCUGUGUGCGGAGAACGUGAACCAAGACAACCUGCUAUCCUAUGCCCGGGAAGCUGCAGACUUUGCCACCAACUACCAGCUGCCAUCCUUAGACUUUGCCAUGAACCACUAUGGGCAGCCUGAUGUGGCCAUGUUUGACUUUACCUGCAUGUAUGCCUCAGAGAAUGCGGCCCUGGUGCGGGAGCGGCAGGCGCACCAGCUGCUCGUGGCCCUCGUGGGUGACAGCUUGCUUGAGCCAUUUUGGCCCAUGGGUACAGGCUGUGCCCGUGGCUUCCUGGCAGCCUUUGACACGGCAUGGAUGGUGAAGAGCUGGAACCAGGGCACCCCUCCCCUGGAGCUGCUGGCUGAAAGGGAAAGUCUCUACCGGCUGUUACCUCAGACAACCCCGGAGAACAUCAACAAGAACUUUGAGCAGUACACGUUGGACCCAGGGACACGGUACCCAAACCUCAACUCACACUGUGUCAGGCCCCAUCAGGUGAAGCAUUUGUAUAUCACUAAGGAGCUGGAGCACUACCCUCUCGAGAGACUGGGCUCAGUGAGGAGAUCUGUCAACCUCUCCAGGAAGGAGUCAGAUAUCCGGCCCAGCAAGCUCCUAACCUGGUGCCAGCAGCAGACAGAGGGCUACCAGCAUGUCAACGUCACCGACCUGACCACAUCCUGGCGCAGUGGGUUGGCCCUGUGUGCCAUCAUCCACCGCUUCCGGCCUGAGCUCAUCAACUUUGACUCUUUGAAUGAAGAUGAUGCUGUGGAGAACAACCAGCUCGCAUUUGAUGUGGCUGAGCGAGAGUUUGGGAUCCCUCCAGUGACCACGGGCAAAGAGAUGGCGUCUGCCCAGGAGCCUGACAAGCUCAGCAUGGUCAUGUACCUCUCCAAGUUCUACGAGCUCUUCCGGGGCACCCCACUGAGGCCCGUAGAUUCUUGGCGCAAAAACUAUGGAGAAAAUGCUGACCUCAGCUUGGCCAAAUCAUCCAUUUCUAAUAACUAUCUCAACCUUACAUUUCCAAGGAAGAGGACUCCACGAGUGGAUGGUCAAACCGGAGAGAAUGACAUGAACAAACGGAGGCGGAAGGGCUUCAAUAACCUGGACGAGCCUUCAAACUUUUCCAGCCUUAGCUUGGGCUCCAAUCAAGAGUGUGGGAGCAGUAAGGAAGGCGGAAAUCAGAAUAAAGUCAAGUCCAUGGCGAAUCAGCUGCUGGCCAAGUUUGAGGAGAGCACUCGGAACCCCUCACUCAUGAAGCAGGAAUCUAUGCGAAAGUCAUUUCCCCUUAACCUGGGAGGCAGCGACAUGUGUUACUUCUGUAAGAAGCGUGUGUAUGUGAUGGAACGGCUGAGCGCUGAGGGCCACUUCUUCCACCGGGAGUGUUUCCGCUGCAGCGUCUGUGCCACCACCUUGCGCCUGGCCGCCUACACCUUUGACUGCGAUGAAGGCAAAUUUUACUGCAAGCCUCACUUCAUUCACUGUAAAACCAAUAGCAAACAACGGAAGAGACGGGCAGAGUUGAAGCAACAAAGAGAGGAGGAGGCGACAUGGCAAGAGCAGGAAGCCCCUCGGAGAGACACUCCCACUGAAAGUUCUUGCGCAGUGGCCGCCAUUGGCACCCCGGAAGGCAGCCCCCCAGGUAUCUCCACCUCCUUCUUUAGGAAGGUGCUGGGCUGGCCCCUCAGGCUGCCGAGGGACCUGUGUAACUGGAUGCAGGGACUCCUGCAAGCCGCUGGCCUCCAUAUCAGGGACAAUGCUUACAACUACUGUUACAUGUACGAGCUCCUGAGCCUGGGGCUGCCACUCCUCUGGGCGUUCUCUGAGGUCCUGGCAGCCAUGUACAGGGAAUCUGAGGGCUCCCUCGAGAGCAUCUGCAACUGGGUGCUCAGGUGCUUCCCAGUCAAGCUCCGCUGA